GACGAACGCUGGCGGCGUGCUUGACACAUGCAAGUCGAACGGAAAGGCCCUGCUUUUGUGGGGUGCUCGAGUGGCGAACGGGUGAGUAACACGUGAGUAACCUGCCCUUGACUUUGGGAUAACUUCAGGAAACUGGGGCUAAUACCGGAUAGGAGCUCCUGCUGCAUAGUGGGGGUUGGAAAGUUUCGGCGGUUGGGGAUGGACUCGCGGCUUAUCAGCUUGUUGGUGGGGUAGUGGCUUACCAAGGCUUUGACGGGUAGCCGGCCUGAGAGGGUGACCGGCCACAUUGGGACUGAGAUACGGCCCAGACUCCUACGGGAGGCAGCAGUGGGGAAUAUUGCACAAUGGGCGGAAGCCUGAUGCAGCAACGCCGCGUGCGGGAUGACGGCCUUCGGGUUGUAAACCGCUUUCGCCUGUGACGAAGCGUGAGUGACGGUAAUGGGUAAAGAAGCACCGGCUAACUACGUG
rnacentral:rRNA from 1 species